rnacentral:rRNA from 1 species
UUCUUCCUCCGGGGGGCAGCAGUGAGGAAUAUUGGUCAAUGGGCGCGAGCCUUCCGCCUCCCCUUCUCUUUCCUUCUUCCUUCCCUACGGUUUUUAAACUUCUUUUAUCCCUUAAUAAAGUGAGGCACUUUUGCCUUUUUGUAUGUACUUUAUUAAUAAGUAUCGGCUAACUCCGUGCCAGCAGCCUCGGUAAUACUGAGGAUCCUAUCUUUAUCCGGAUUUAUUGGGUUUAAAUGGAGCGUAGAUGGGUUGUUAAGUCAGUUGUGAAAGUUUGCGGCUCAACCGUAAAAUUGCAAUUGAUACUG